rnacentral:rRNA from 1 species
GACGAACGCUGGCGGCGUGCCUAAUACAUGCAAGUUGAGCGCUGAAGGUUGGUACUUGUACCGACUGGCUGAGCAGCGAACGGGUGAGUAACGCGUGGGGAAUCUGCCUUUGAGCGGGGGACAACAUUUGGAAACGAAUGCUAAUACCGCAUAAAAACUUUAAACACAAGUUUUAAGUUUGAAAGAUGCAAUUGCAUCACUCAAAGAUGAUCCCGCGUUGUAUUAGCUAGUUGGUGAGGUAAAGGCUCACCAAGGCGAUGAUACAUAGCCGACCUGAGAGGGUGAUCGGCCACAUUGGGACUGAGACACGGCCCAAACUCCUACGGGAGGCAGCAGUAGGGAAUCUUCGGCAAUGGACGAAAGUCUGACCGAGCAACGCCGCGUGAGUGAAGAAGGUUUUCGGAUCGUAAAACUCUGUUGGUAGGGAAGAACGUUGGUGAGAGUGGAAAGCUCAUCAAGUGACGGUAACUACCCAGAAAGGGACGGCUAACUACGUG